UUUUAAUUGAGAGUUUGAUCCUGGCUCAGGACGAACGCUGGCGGUAUGCUUAACACAUGCAAGUCGAACGAGAAGCUUUUUAUGGAUCCUUCGGGAGAAAUAAGGAGUGGAAAGUGGCGAACGGGUGAGUAACGCGUGGGUAACCUGCCUCAUGGAAAGGAAUAGCCUCGGGAAACUGGGA
rnacentral:rRNA from 1 species